rnacentral:misc_RNA from 1 species
CUCGACAGGCUGCGUGAGNUGUGCCCGAUUGGCGGGCUCUCCCAGCCGACGUUCGGUGGCGAGGCAGUUGUUUCGUGUCUGUGGCCGCAGCUCGCAGCCGAAAUGGCGGUUUGAGCGUGCAAGUGAGAAAUAUCGUUUCGACCCGGUCUCGAGUGGCGCGCCUUCUCUCGAUGAGUGGCGUGUCGGCAAAUAGAAAGCUGGCAUAGCUUUUUCGGUCAGUCCUGCCCGGCGUAGCAAGAGCAUGUCGGAAGGCGUCCAGUGGUUCUGCAUGUAUCACCGGGCAGCCGGUGGAGGCGCGCUGUGCGAUGACUCCCCGGGCCUGCGUGUACGUGAAUAGUCCUAUUCGGUGCGACAGAUAUCUGGUUGAUCCUGCCAGU